CUGAACCAGCCAAGUAGCGUGAAGGAUGACUGCCCUAUGGGUUGUAAACUUCUUUUAUAUGGGAAUAAAGUAUUCCACGUGUGGGAUUUUGUAUGUAUUAUAUGAAUAAGGAUCGGCUAACUCCGUGCCAGCAGCCGCGGUAAUACGGAGGAUCCGAGCGUUAUCCGGAUUUAUUGGGUUUAAAGGGAGCGUAGGUGGACUGGUAAGUCAGUUGUGAAAGUUUGCGG
rnacentral:rRNA from 1 species